rnacentral:rRNA from 1 species
AGCAGCCGCGGUAAUUCCAGCUCCAAUAGCGUAUAUUAAAGUUGUUGCAGUUAAAAAGCUCGUAGUUGAAUUUCGGGAUUGGCGCAUCGGUCGUGCCUCACGGGGUAUGAACUGGUGCAGUCAAUUUCUCACCUUCUGGAGAACCGCGAUGUCCUUAAUUGGGUGCCGCGGGGAACCAGGACCUUUACUUUGAAAAAUUAGAGUGUUUAAAGCAGGCAUUUUUGCUUGAAUACAUUAGCAUGGAAUAAUAAAAUAGGACGGCAUGGUUCUAUUUUGUUGGUUUCUAGGACCACCGUAAUGAUUAAUAGGGAUAGUUGGGGGCAUUAGUAUUCAAUUGUCAGAGGUGAAAUUCUUGGAUUUAUUGAAGACUAACUACUGCGAAAGCAUUUGCCAAGGAUGUUUUCAUUAAUCAAGAACGAAAGUUAGGGGAUCGAAGACGAUCAGAUACCGUCGUAGUCUUAACCAUAAACUAUGCCGACUAGGAAUCAGACGAUGUUAAUUUUUAAUGUACUCG